AUUGAACGCUGGCGGCAGGCCUAACACAUGCAAGUCGAGCGGAGAGGCGGAAGGGUGAGUAAUGCCUAGGAAUCUGCCUGGUAGUGGGGGAUAACGUACGGAAACGGGCGCUAAUACCGCAUACUAUCAGAUGAGCCUAGGUCGGAUUAGCAAGUUGGUGGGGUAAAGGCCUACCAAGGCGACGAUCCGUAACUGGGCUGAGAGGAUGAUCAGUAACACUGGAACUGAGACACGGUCCAGACUCCUACGUGAGGCAGCAGUGGGGAAUAUUGGACAAUGGGCGAAAGCCUGAUCCAGCCAUGCCGCGUGUUCGAAGAAGGUCUUCGGAUUGUAAAGCACUUUAAGUUGGGAGGCGUUACCAACAGAAUAAGCACCGGCUAACUUCGUGCCAGCAGCCGCGGUAAUUC
rnacentral:rRNA from 1 species